rnacentral:rRNA from 1 species
GACGAACACUGGCGGCGUGCCUAAUACAUGCAAGUCGAGCGGAAGUUGGAGAGCUUGCUCUUCAACUUUAGCGGCGGACGGGUGAGUAACACGUGGGCAACCUGCCCUGCAGAUCGGGAUAACUCCGGGAAACCGGUGCUAAUACCGAAUAGUUUUCGCCACCUCCUGGUGGCGUACGGAAAGACGGUUUCGGCUGUCACUGCAGGAUGGGCCCGCGGCGCAUUAGCUAGUUGGUGGGGUAACGGCCCACCAAGGCGACGAUGCGUAGCCGACCUGAGAGGGUGAUCGGCCACAAUGGGACUGAGACACGGCCCAGACUCCUACGGGAGGCAGCAGUAGGGAAUCUUCCGCAAUGGACGAAAGUCUGACGGAGCAACGCCGCGUGAGUGACGAAGGUUUUCGGAUCGUAAAACUCUGUUGUGAGGGAAGAACAAGUACCAACUAACUACUGGUACCUUGACGGUACCUCACCAGAAAGCCACGGCUAACUACGUGCCAGCCGCCGCGGUAAUAC